rnacentral:rRNA from 1 species
AGAGUUUGAUCCUGGCUCAGAACGAACGCUGGCGGCAGGCUUAACACAUGCAAGUCGAACGCCCGUAGCAAUACGGGAGUGGCAGACGGGUGAGUAACGCGUGGGAAUCUCCCCAAAGGUACGGAACAACUCAGGGAAACUUGAGCUAAUACCGUAUGUGCCCGAGAGGGCAAAGAUUCAUCGCCUUUGGAUGAGCCCGCGUUGGAUUAGCUAGUUGGUGGGGUAAUGGCCUACCAAGGCGACGAUCCAUAGCUGAUCUGAGAGGAUGAUCAGCCACACUGGGACUGAGACACGGCCCAGACUCCUACGGGAGGCAGCAGUGGGGAAUCUUGGACAAUGGGCGAAAGCCUGAUCCAGCCAUGCCGCGUGAGUGAAGAAGGCCUUAGGGUUGUAAAGCUCUUUUGCCCGGGAAGAUAAUGACGGUACCGGGAGAAUAAGCCCCGGCAAACUUCGUGCCAGCCGCCGCGGUAAUAC